AACGAACGCUGGCGGCAUGCCUAACACAUGGCAAGGUCGAACGAGACCUUCGGGUCUAGUGGCGCACGGGUGCGUAACGCGUGGGAAUCUGCCCUUAGGUUCGGAAUAACUUCGGGAAACUGAAGCUAAUACCGGAUGAUGACGUAAGUCCAAAGAUUUAUCGCCUAAGGAUGAGGCCCGCGUUUGGAUUAGCUAGUGGUGAGGUAAAGGCUCACCAAGGCGACGAUCCAUAGCUGGUCUGAGAGGAUGAUCAGCCACACUGGGACUGAGACACGGCCCAGACUCCUA
rnacentral:rRNA from 1 species